UACGGAGGGUGCAAGCGUUGUCCGGAUUUAUUGGGUUUAAAGGGCGCGUAGGCGGCUUGGCAAGUCAAAGGUGAAAUCCCUCGGCUCAACUGAGGAACUGCCUUUGAAACUGCCUGGCUUGAGGCCGGGAGGGGGUAGCGGAAUUCCCAGUGUAGCGGUGAAAUGCGUAGAUAUUGGGAGGAACACCAGUGGCGAAGGCGACUACCUGGCCUGUUCUUGACGCUGAGGCGCGAAAGCUAGGGGAGCAAACGGG
rnacentral:rRNA from 1 species